rnacentral:rRNA from 1 species
AGUGAACGCUGGCGGUAGGCCUAACACAUGCAAGUCGAACGGCAGCACAGUAAGAGCUUGCUCUUACGGUUGGCGAGUGGCGGACGGGUGAGGAAUACAUCGGAUUCUACUUUUUCGUGGGGGAUAACGUAGGGAAACUUACGCUAAUACCGCAUAUGACCUACGGGUGAAAGCAGGGGAUCUUCGGACCUUGCGCGAUUGAAUGAGCCGAUGUCGGAUUAGCUAGUUGGCGGGGUAAAGGCCCACCAAGGCGACGAUCCGUAGCUGGUCUGAGAGGAUGAUCGGCCACACUGGAACUGAGACACGGUCCAGACUCCUACGGGAGGCAGCAGUGGGGAAUCUUGGACAAUGGGCGCAAGCCUGAUCCAGCCAUACCGCGUGGGUGAAGAAGGCCUUCGGGUUGUAAAGCCCUUUUGUUGGGAAAGAAAAGCAGCAUGUUAAUCCCCCGCUGUUCUGACGGUACCCAAAGAAUAAGCACCGGCUAACUUCGUG